GGUUAAUUAGGCAGGCUAAUAAACUGCCUAUAGCUUCAUUUAGGAAAGGAACUGUAUUUCAUCACCCAGAAAACAGUGCAGAACUUGGAGAAGAGGAGUGUUUUUAUUAGAAAGGCUGAAAUUCAGCUUCUGAUGAGAAAAGUUGACUCCAGGCAUGGUCUUCAGCCAGAGGUGCGUUGGGGAUGGAAGGAUUAAACAACCUGUAGUGCUUACACAAACCAGUGUUUUCCAAUGCCCAUCCCUGAAAUGGAAGUUGAGAAGUGGUUUAUCAGAAGUGGUUCCAUGCCUUGGUCCGUAACUCAGCUGGGCCGUGUGGCCUCUUUCAAUUCAGGAUGAGCACUUGGGCCACAUCUGCUUCUCUGUCUGGGUUUUGAUGUUCUCCGAUGUUCAGUGUCACUUUUUCCAAGUUUAAACCACACCAUCUCAUUAAUUCCAGCCCAAGAACAUCCCAAGCAGGGACCAAAUGGGAGGGAGAGGUCAAUGAAACCACUCUGAUGAGCUCCAACAGUGGAGAAAAACCACGCACCCACCACUGCUCUGAUGGCCGAGGCACCAGCAUAAAAAUAAAUCCUUCCUUGUCACAUUCCAGUAUAUUAGCAGUGACACUUAAUAACUUCUACUUAAUAGCCUCCAUAUUUGUGUGGGAAUCUAUGACAUGCUGAGGACUGGACACGCUUUCUGAGCACAUGCAGCGUGGUUGCCCCAUAUGUCGUGCAGCUUGCAAAAAAAGGAGAGAGACAAGCAAGAGAAACAUAUAUCUGGGAGAGAUAGAAUGUAAUUUUUAAUUGAACUUCAUGUUGUGGGUAAAAAUAGGGCUGACAGCUUUGAAGAUCAGGGUCUACUCUUUCUAUAGCAGAUAUAUGUACCAGAUGCUCGUGAGUAUGGCCAAAUCCUACCCUGGUGGGUUUUCUAAGGAUUGGAGAGGACUCCUCUCAGUGUGCAUCACAUCUCUACGUGUCAUGGUCCCCAAGGGGUGGUGAGAAAUGAGUCUCCUGUGCAGGUGAAGGUCCCCACGUGCCAUAAGCGUGGGCUUCGUCAACCCCAUGCAGCCCCGCUCAGAUGCAUUUCCAUUGCUGGUUGUAUUUCUGGCUCUGCUCGUCGAGUAAUUAAAAACACUCAUUUGGAAAACAACAAAAACAAACAGACUAGAAAUCAGUCAAACCUCAUCAGUCAAGACUGCACUGAAGCAACCCGCAGCUACGACCACAGAAAGGCUUUGAUUCCCAGCUUGUCACCCUAGGUUUGAGGUGAAAAGGAAUCAUCAUCCCCAUGUAGAAUUUAUUACCAUUUUCUGGGGAGCCAGAAACCCCUUUUGCUUAAAUCUCAGUGCAUUUUUCCUUUCUGCAAGGAAGCAGAAUAAGGUGUCCCACACAUCUCCAUGUCCCAGAGACCACCACACAAAACCAUAUUCAUAGAAUCAUAAAAUCACUGAAUCGUAGAAUAAUUAAGAUUGGAAAAGACCUCUGAAAUCAUCCAGUCUAAGUGUCCACCUACCACCAAUAUUGCCCACUAAGCCAUUUCCCUAAAUAUUGCCACUUUCCACCCAAAUCUGAUUUUCCCAGGGAUAAUUCAGUCACCUAAGCCCUACACAUGCAGCUUCAUCCUCUUAAAUCUCCUUCCUAUAUAACAAAUAGAUGAGGCUAGAAAUACUGGAAAUGGAAAUGGUGUGGGGGGGGGACAUGUUCAGACAUGUUGACUCAAAGGUCUUUCUUCAAAAUCUUUCUAAUUGGGCAUUUACCUAAGCUGCAGUCCCUGCCACACAAAGCCUUUGCUUAGAGCAGUGCAUGCAGCGAGACAAUUGCCUUUUUAUUUUGCUGGUUAUUAUUCCUCACUGGAAAUAGGAAGGAAAAAAAAAAAAGAAAAAGAAAAAGAAAGCUAUCACUCUGGAUUUUUUUAUCAGGUUUCAGCCACUCUGGAUGAUGUUCAAUAAAAGAAAAGCUAUCUCUGUUAGAGAUGAGUAGCCCUUUACAGAACAGUCAUUGCCUACCAAGUAACCUUUAAGCAUCUGACUGUCUCUUAAGUUAAUGUAGGUAGAGGAUGGAGAGGAAGCUACAGUCACUUCUGUGUGUUUGAAAAACACAGCUGUUUCUCAUAAAAUUCAGCAGCCAGACAUACAUGCACUGAUUGGUUUUGUUGAUGCUGUUGUUUUCAGUUUUCAUGAAAUCACUAUCCAUCACCUUCCUCACACCCAGCUGAACCGUCAGGUCCCCAUGCAUGCUGCAGGAGAAGCAGAGUCAGGCAUGCUUCAGAGACCCAGCAUAGUGUCCUCUUCCCACCAGGAGAGCUCAGAAGAAGCCAGAAGGUCACAAGUGAUGUUCUCAGCAGCAAAACUGGGCUGUCAGUCAGGCUGCACGGACCUCCACUGGAGAACCACACUCUGGUGCAACACACAUCUCCAGGCAGCCUUGUCUUACCAGGGUGGGAAUUGGGGUCUCCAUGUUGGACUCAAUGAUUCUUAUGGUCCCUUCUGACUUGGGAUAUUCUAUGAUAUUCUGCGUGUCUGUACCUACAGGUGCAUCAUAUACCUCUCCUAGGCUCUCCUACAGCAUCUACCCUGGCAAGAGAAGUGCACAGCCAAGCUGCAGGGACAGAGUUUGGAUAAGUCCUUAUGGCAGAGCCCUUGGAGACACUUUGGAGUUACAACCCAAGGUGCCCACAAACUUGCAUGACAAAGCCUUUGCAAAAGUGACAUGCUGUCACCAGGCUCAGGGAGGGCAGCAUACAGGGUUCAGAUCUCCAGGAUAGCCAAGGAAGACUUGCUGCCUCCUCCAUGCACCCCAAUUCCUAGAGGAUCCGAACCACAUCAGCAGGGAAGAAACUCCCAUGGCUUUGCUGGUAUGGCUCUAUGGAGAGUGGGGAGUUCUGGAGGAAACCUCAGCACUUCAAACAUGACCUGAUCCAUGGCUGCAUCCCAUAUUGAGAGAUUCAGGAUUUAAGGUCCCCCCGGCACCCAUGGCACAAGUGACAAGCAGCUGUCAGCAGCUCAGGGGGGUCUCCAGCUGCCUGCAAAUUUCCACAUUAAAGCUGUAAGCUCUCAUGCUUCACUUGGGACCAAUAAAACAGGAUAGGGUAGAGGCUGCUGUGAUAAAUGGGGCAUAAAUCACACCUUCCCCCUCUCCUUCCCCUUCCUUGUGGGGAGGUGGUACUGCCAGAGCCUCCACAGGCCCCGCUUCAAUAUGCUCAGACAGGUCCUCUUCUGCCUGUGCAGUCAAUUAGAACUUCAUCAGAAAUCAAUUUGCGAGGCCCAGCUGAGAUGUACCUAUAGAUCAGCCAAUGCCAAGUGAUUAUUACACUAAUGGAAUAUUCCAUUGAUUAAUUGAAUAUUUAAGUCCUGAAAUGUAAGCCCCACUGUCUUAUCUGCGGCUUGUUACCGAGCUGUGCAGCAGAGAUACUGCACUGGUGCAUGGAGCUAACCUUGAGUCUGGUAUUUUUGGGGUGAAAUGCAGAGGUUUUGGUUCUGGUCACACAGGAGACAUUUUGGCAGCAAGAAUCAUGUUCUGCAUGGAGGGCUUGGCCACUUCAUAGAAACACAGAAUCAUAGAAUAACCUAAGUUGGAAGGGACCCAUAAGGAUCAUCAAGUCCCAAAAAUCAGACCAUAUGGCUGAGAUCAUUGCCUGCCCCUCCCUUCCCCUGUGGGGAAGCUGUAGGCUGCCAUGAGGGGACUGCAGGCCAUGAGUGGGCUGUAUGCUGCCAUGAGGGGGAUGUAGGCCAUGAGGAAGCUGUAGGUUGCCAUGGUGGGGAUGUAGGCCAUGAGGAAGCUGUAGGUUGCCAUGGUGGGGAUGUAGGCCAUGAGGAAGCUGUAGGCUGCCAUGGGGGGGAUGUAGGCCAUGAGGAAGCUGUAGGCCAUGAGGGGACCGUAGGCUGCCAUGCAGCCUCCCUUUCCCUGGGCUGAGCAAACCAAAGGACUUCAGCAGUGUUUGUGUUCCCCAAAUCUGGGCAGGAAAUCCUCAGUGAUUUAUUCCCAUUGUCACACACGAGCAGAUGUCAGGACUGCAGAGCACAGUGAGAAGAUCAGCCAAGGGUUUCCCAUCUGCUCUGCCCGUGGCCCCAGUGCUUUUCUACACCAAAAAAAAAACCCAGGUGUGCAGAGGGCAGAGGCCUCCUGCAUGGGAUUCUGGAUUCACCGCAUGGAGAAGGCUGGGUUACUUGCUCAGGGGAACACCUGUUUAAGUGCUUUGUUGGACAAAGGCCAUAACAACCGAGAGAGAAAUGAGGUGGAGAUGGGGAAAAGGGAGGGAUGGUGUCAGCAGGUGGAGGUGUGCCGCAGCUGGAGGUAUCGCUGAGGGCACAGCGGGGUGGUUAGGAAUAUUACCCCUGAAUUGUAUUGCGUGAUUAACUCAGUGGAGAGUCAUUAAGUGCAUGAGUGAGAGAGAGGAGUCACGUCCUCUCUGCAGAGCUCCUGCUCUCUCACCACGAGGUGAGGCCUUCUUCCCCCUUGCCCACACCCAGACCUUGCGAGCUGGCUGCUGGAAGAAGCCAUCAGGUCUGGGAAGGUGACCAACCGUGGCACAUGUCCAAAUGAGUCACAGAAUCACAGAAUUGUUUGAGUUGGAAGGGAUGUUUAAAGGUCAUCUAGUCCAGCUCCCCUGCAAUGAACAGAGGCACCCACAGCUGAGCACAUCAGGGGCUCAGAGCCCCAUCCAACCCCAUCCCCUGGCUGAAGGGAACAUGUCCGGACAAGCCCCGUGCUUUGCUUCUGACUGGAGAAUAUCAGCUGUUCCCUCUGCGCCCAGCUUCACAGCUGACUUUGCACUGCCCUGAUCAUCACUAGGGUCUCCUCACCUCCUCUAUUGCUCUCAAAGUCUAUUGGGGUCUUUGGACUGAGCUCUUAGUUUAAGACUGAGCUUUGGACUUAGCUGCUGUCAUGGGAAGCUGCAUUUUUUUUCUUCUUUAUGUAUGUUUUCCUGAACAGGAAGGUAAAAAUAAAUGGAGAGAAAAAACAAGUAUUGAUGGAACAGCUAGGAGGGAGAAGAGAGCUUUUUGUCUCACUGAGAAAUCUGACCUUUCAGAGGUAGCUUCAAGAAACCUCAAGGAAACGUGCUUUGCUGGCAUUUGCUGCAGGUGAUUCACUGGGAGUUUUCAUCCCCUCUUUCAGAAGAUAAUGUUUAGACUUUUAUUAACUUGCAAGCUCUGGGUGCCUUGGAGACCUGAGGAGCACAGAAACUCCCAGUUGGUGAGAUCAGGCUGUGCCUUUGCACAGAAAUCCUGGUUCUCAGGCUUUUCUGAAGCCUAUUCAGCAAACCCACCUUCCCUCAUGCGUGGAUACCAAGGCUGCAAUGCCAAUUAUAUUUGCAUGCCCCGAGGCUCCUUUGACCUCUCCUUAGCCAGAAGGAUGUGGGAAUCACACAGCAAAGGCAGCAUCAGGACACAUGCUGGAGGAGGCAUGAAGUCAUCCAGACAUGGCCUCCAUCUCCUGCAGCGCAGGGAGAAGGAAUUCCUUUGGUGAGCCCCGAAACAUGGCCCCAGGGACAGGAGGUAGCACAGGACUCAGCCGUGCUGAAUACCUGGUGCCCGGGGAACCUGAGCUUCAAAGCAACCAGACGGGAAGAAAAACGGAGGCAGCCAAACCAUGGCAUGAAUCGCAGAGAGAGUUCAGACUGAUAAAUAUUUCAGACUGACAGCUAUUCCUGUCCUUGGAAGUUCAUUCAUCAGAAUCUUAGCAAGGCCUCCACUACCCAGGACCAUAAAUACUGAGGCCUAUUUUAAUGACAGCUUUUGGCGUGGCUAAUACCAAAAGUAUGGCAGCCUGUUACAGUUCAACCUCCAUCCUCAGCUGCUUCAGCGUAAUUUAUUGCACCUGUAAAGGCUAUAUUCAAAUACACGCCUGUUGUAAUUACAGCCCCUGGCUGUGUGGGAUCCACCUGUGAGUUGAUUGUACCUUGUUUUGAUAAGAUGCUAGACAAUGACAACAAUAUAGAAACAAUAGCAGCCAUUAGUAUCUCAGCGAUACACACAGUCCCCAUGUCACACAAAAGGAGAGUUUUACUGUCUAUACGUGGGGGGAAAUUUUGACCCAAGUCAGGAAAACUGCUGUCAGGAGGGUAGGAAAAUGGGAAACCUGCAGCUCUGCUUCUCUCCCCUCUUCUGCACCGAUGCUCUGCCGUCCCAGCAUCACAGCUGGCAGGCAGCUCCUAUUUCUCUCCAAGCCUCAGAUCCUUGUAGAACUUCACGGUUGGCUUCUGGAGAAUAUUUGAUAGUCUUCUUAAAUUAGCCCUAAAUGGUUGGGUUGACCCGAAUACUUCAGUAGGAAGGAACUGGAGCCCUCCCCCGAAACACCUCCCUCCCUGUCAGUGAUGGCCUAUAAUGACACAGGAGAAAUUUGCUCUGCUCCUUUCUGUGCCGUGAACAAAUUCAGCCUUUGAACUCUUAGCACCAGCCCCAGUGCUAAGCAGCCUCUGCUCCCACCUCCAUGCACCAUCUUGGUCUCGAGCUCUCCAAGCACAGCCCUCUCCUACUGGGCGCUCCCCAGCACGUUUCAUUCAUGAAUUAAGUCCCUGACAGCCCAUAUCUCUAUGAUCAAUAUGUUUGUUUAUUAGCAGCAGCUGCUGUGUUUUAGCAAAACGGGAGGGCUCCAGCAGGAGCAGCGCGCUCUAACCGCAGAGCAGGCUUGGGAUGGGGAGAAGGACCUCCUGCUGGCAAAUGGGAGCUGGGUGGGAUAAGAUUUCACGCUAAUGACCCUUUAAUUGAAAUCACUGCUCAGGACAGAUUGCUCAUCUUGGGGAUAUCUGUGCUGAUGGCUCCCGGUUUGGCCGCUCCUGAGACAAAUCCAUUAACUCAGUAGCGAUGAACAAAAGCUAAGAGGGAGAGCAAGAGUCUGUCCAUCACUAGCACAGCUGAUCUGCACCCCAAGGCAGCCCCAGCCAGCAGCUGGUGUAAAUGGAGCCCUGCACAAAGGGUAUGGCAAGGGCUGUGGCAGCCCAGUGACUACCACUGGCACCUGGGCUUCUUAGAAUUAGGCAGCUCUGCUGGGCCUGUUUGCGGAGAUGCUGAUGUGUGUCUCUUGCAAUGCAAAGAGAAGCCUGAGUGCACAGAAAGGAAGGUUACGAACCUGCUUUGAAUGCAUUUAUUAUUCCCAUUAAUUACAAUGCCUGCUAAAGAGGACCAGCUGUUCUAGGAGGCUGUGGUACCAAUUUAUCAGGAGAAGAUUCCAACAGAAGUUGCAGAGUUUUCCUCUGAACUUGGGAGGAUGGAAGAUGGAGGUUUUUUAAUUAGAACUUGUUAUUAAUGGGAACGUAGCAAAUUAAAAAUAGUCUCCCUCCCCCCUCCCUAUUACAUGAAGCUCUGAUCUCAAUUAGAAAGAUCAGAGACUAACCAUUGAAUGGGAAUUACUGAGAUGAAAACUGAUUGAAAGACAAAAACCAAAGACAGAGGCAUCGUGGGGAGAGAACAGAGAUAGAAAACAAUGAGCAGAGGCUGUCAGAGGCUGUGUGCCACAGGCAGGUGGCAGAGGCUCAGCCAGGCAGGGUGGCUUUCUGCCUUAGCCCAUAGUGAGAACACCUGGUCUCACCCGGCACUGUGUUGGAUGGUUCUUUCAGGGCUGGGGUCAGGUUAGGAAAGGUGCAGUGGGGUCUGAGCAGACCUAUCUCCUGUGUGACAAUCUUGGCUAAUGACUUCCCAAUGAGAACCUCAUCUGCUGCCCUUCGGUCACCUGCAGACCAAGUCCCUGUCUUCCUUGCAACAGAUAAUCCAUGGCAUAUUCCAGGGCAGGCAGGGACCUUAGGCUGAAAUUACAGCCUUGCUUACUAAUUGCUGCAUGUUCUCUCUCCAUAGGUAUAUCAUUGCCAGCAAUUAGCACAAAAUCCUUUCCCACUCUUGUUAAGUUCCUGUGCUGCAGUUAAAUACUCCCAGAUCCCAUUUAAAUGAUUUCAAAUGCAAUUCAUUCUGGCUCGUUAAAUAAUUCCACAGCAGUGUUUGUCGUCUUCUCUCUCUGUUUUCCAACAGCCACUUUCUCCCAGAAAGAAUAUGAUGACUAAAGAAUGGGAAGGGGAAGUGAGAUGUAAACUGAGAAAUUUGAGGUCCAUCCUCUCUGCCUAUAUUUUUACUUCUUUCUUCCUCCUCUUCUCCAGCUGUGACUUCUCCCAGUAGAUGGGCCUUAUGGGGGUCCAUAUGACACAAUUUCUGUUGGUUUCACCAACUCAGUGAGGUGGUGGCUUCAAUGUGCGCUCCCUGAGGCAUGGGGUCCACCAUCUGUUUGCAAGGAAUCAUCAAAAAAGUUGCAAAGAAAAGCAAUUUCCUUUCUGCCACUCAGCAGUCUACGACAGCGUUCCCAUUGGAAGAUUUGUAGUGGUCCUUGGGUUGAUGAAGCUGAAAGCCACUGUGCUGUAUGUAUUAAUGCAGAAGGGGCGAGAACAAGCGAGCAUCAUCAACAGAAGGGCAGCUCCUGCAGGGAGGGAAGAUGUGCAUGUGGGCAGAGGCAUUCACAGGCUGCAGCCUGGCUGUGUGCUUCAUCAGGCUUGCUUGAGUGUUUCAGAAUGGCACGGAUGAACUCCAGCCACUUUGUUGCCAGGGUGGAGCGUGUGGCACGGAGUGUGAUCCUCGUGGAAGGCUUUGAUGAAAAAUGUGAGCUCAGUUGGAAGGGAAGGAGAUGAAAGCAAAUUUCACAAAUGUCACAAGAGUUUUCACAGCAAAGUUAGCUGCUGGAAAUUAACUGCCAUCGCCACAAACCGCAGGCUGGGAUCCUAUUCCCAGGCAUUGGAAGGAUGGUCCUGAAAAACACCUCUAAAAUAAGUGGGGCAAUGGAAAGGAAAUCUCUGCCUGAAAAAUGUGUGCCCCCAUCUGUUAAACAAUAUUCAGGUGCUUCUGCAUUUACGCUUCCUCCAUACUUAAGCAGCGAUGGCUUUCAAAGGCAGAUUGCCUAUGUGAAGAACAGAUGGAGGGAGCAAUCCUCCCAUCCAAGCUCUGCACCAGAACUGAAGAAGUUUGUAAUCUGCUUCUUGUUCACAGAGCCAAGGCUUCAAACACAGCCCCUCUGCUCCAACAUGCUGGGUAGCUCAGGAGCCCGCAUACUCUUGGUUUUCCUCGUCCUUCUCUGCAGGCUUUUCUGCUGAGCGCUAUUUUGUGAAGGCAGCAAUGGUGUCCAGAAUGUGUUCUGCAAGGGCAAAGGUAAAAGGGCAUCCAAGCCCAAAUUUCCUGCUUCCCCAUAGUGAUAGGAGAGAACUUUGUCCAUGAGCUGGUGAGCGAAGCCUUGUGGCUGCCUGCACGCUGCCCCAGCUUUUCAUCAGCACCAAAUUUGCAGCAAAAUAGGAAAAGUCAUUUCAUGAAAGCAAAAUAAUACCCGGUCGUACCAACAUCUCAGCUCUCAAUCUCUGUUUUCUAUAUCUCUGUUGAUGUUCAAAGGAAAACAAUGUGAUUGUUAAUUACAAACUGCUUUGAAUGCAUGCAAGGAAGCAGUUCAGCGCAGAGCCAGUCGGAAGCAGGAAAGCUGAGGAUACAGCAUGUGCCGAACUGCUUUAAAGGGCAGCAAGUUCCAUUGUAAUGAAUGCUGAUGCAAUCAUUGUACCAGACACAAAGUGGAAGUGUUACCUUGUGCAGCUCCCCACUGUUCUCUAUCUAUGGGGUUUUGCUUUGGACUGGGUGGAAAAGACUGAAAUACCAGGGGAGUGCUUUGCAUUUCAAAGAAGUUAAUGCGUAAGUGAUGUUGUGAUUCAUUAGCUCUCUACCACUGCAUUGGUGUCCCAGGGUCCACAGGUACACUGGCAGCCCAAUGGUCUUCACAGUCCAGCCCACCAUGGGGAAAGCAAUCAGCAACCUGAUGAUAUAGGCAAUGGAAGAGGGUCUGGAUACAAUAAAAAGGUAACAUACAUAUAAGGAUGGAGCACACACAGUGUCCCUGUGUGUACUGGGCAAGUCAAGAACAGGCUUAAAUGCAGAUGCAUGGACACGUGUGACAUGAGAACACAGAGCAGAUCCUGGCAGCAGCUCAUGGUGCAAGGAUGCUCCCUGGGCAUCCCUCCCAUCCAUUCUCAUGGCACAGUCCUGACUUACAUGCGGUUGGAGGCUACAGCAGAACCAGCAGCUGAUGAAUACAAGGAGAAGGCUUUGCACUCCCACCAGCCCUGGAAAUAGGGCAGCUGCUGUUUUGUUGCUGGCUGGACUGAGGCUUAUUUGCAAGGAAGGAGAUGGUGUUCUGUGGUUGAUCUCUCCUCCAGUCUGCUGCCAACACAAUCUGCAGAACUUCAAAGCUGCAAAUAGGGAAGUGGCUGUUAAGCAGCACUCAUCUCAGGGCUGAGCUUCGUGUUUCUCAACCAGGAGUGUGCAGUGGUCCUGAGCCAGGCAGAGAAUGGCUCUGGGGACAUCCCCAGGGAACACCUCUAGGAAGGCCUCUCCCCAGCCCCCAGAUGCAUCUCACUGCCCCACGGGCAGCCCAUCUCCUCCAGCCUCACUCUCCCCGCCAGGCUCCAUCUACUGAAAAAAGGAUGCUCAGAAAGUUCACAGCUCCAUCCCAGGGGAAGCAUUUCAGCAGCUCUGCUUCCUGUGCACCCACACCGUUUCCCCCUCUCUGGGUCCUUCUAGUUGGAUUUUCCCACAUGCCCAGCCCAAGAACACUGCCUGAGCCCACUGCCAUCAUUUCAGCCCCUACCACAUGCAGAGGGAUGGUCGUUGGCUCCGCACUGUGGCUGCGCUCCUCCUCCUCCUCUUCUGCUUGCAGCCUUCUUCCUACAGAACAGUGACUAAUGCUGCUCCUCCACGCAGUGCAUCAUCCCGCGGGGGCGUGCGAGGGUGAGGAGCGAGCGCGGGUGGAGGAAGUGGGGAGCACAGGUGCCAAACGUGAGACAGCACCAGGGGACAGCAGCAGAGCUGGGGACAUGGAGAGGUGGCACUCGGCAGCAGGAUGUCAUCACCAGGGUCUUGUGCAUAUGAUUGACCUGGAGGAGCUGUGGGUGCAUGGGGAGGGCUGCACUGAUGCGCUGCCCUGUUGGCAUCACACAAUAAGAAGUGACGGGGCAGCGAGAAAAGAGACCUUUUGCCAUCGUCCCCACUUGUCACAGUGCCAAAAGAAAGCUGCAGUGCUUUUAAACAAGCCGGCUUAACACGGCUCUGCUCUCCAGGCACAAGGGGGUGGUUUCUUUUACCGCCGCUUAAGAGCGGAGGAAGACGUGAGGGCUGACUGCAGGGCCGGCAUCCCUGUGGGGCCCGGCGCCCGCAUUGCCAACCACAGCCCUGUGAGCCUGGAGUAAUGGCCUAAAUGGGGGGAGAAAGCAGAGUGCAUUGCUAAUGGCAGUGGAGCAGGCAGCUGCCUGCUGCUCAGCCUCUCCUCCUCCUCCCUUCAUCAGAAUCCUGCACAAAGAGAACUGAAAGGGAUGGGGAUAAGGUGGGGUUAUGGAUAAGGAUGAGAAUGAGAACAGAGAUGGGGAUAUGAGUGGGGGUAUAGGUAGAGAUGGAGUUGGGAAUAGGAAUGGGGUUAUGGGUAGAAAUGAGGAUGAGGAAGAAGAUGGAGUUAUGGAUGGGAAUAAAACUAAGGAUAGAGAGGGAGGUAAGGUUAUGGAUGGGGAAGGGGAUGGGGUUAUGGAUGGUGACGGAGGUAGGAGUAGGAUGGGAAGGGUAAUAUGAAUGAGGAUGGAGAUGAGGAAGCCCCUCCUCUCACCUCACAUCCUUCCAGGGAGGGUUCUCCAAUGUGGUGCUUAGGGGCAAAUCCCUGCCCUCGCCCCAUCCAGCCAAGCCAGGAUGCAGUGGUAUGGAGGAAGCAGGAUUCAGCUUCUACAGCCAGCUCUGAGACCGGGAGCUGUCAGUUUCAACAUUCACAGCCUUGGUCCUCACUUUAAUCAGCAGCAUGUCACCUUCAAAGAGGACAGGGAUGGAUGCAGAGCAGAGAGAGCAGAGAUUCUUUGCCCAGAUCCUGCCCAGAUCUCACCAGAAACAUGCUAUGGGACAAUAAAGAUAGAUUUAAAUAUGCUGAAAGCGUUCAGGGCUCUGUUUGCAAAGUUUCAAGAUGCAGCAGUUAGCAAAUAUUGAAGCAGCAGGUGAGCAUCAGCCUUGACUUAGAAGAUUUCUCACAACUGAGAAUCCCAACCUCCAGCCCUACCACCAACCCAGUGACUGCAGGAGGCAUGACCCCACUGUGAUGGGGAGUUGUCUUACAAACCUUCCCCAUUAGCAGCAGGACAGAGUCCCAGCAGCAGGUUUCAUAGACGGUCCUGAGCAGUUCUGGGCACCUGUUUGUCUCAGCAGUACAGUUCACAAGGCACCUCCAGCCACAGAAACGGAUGAGAGAAGCAACCAAUCCUCAGUCCUUGGCAUAAAAGCUCUAUAAAGGAGGAACGGGAGUACCUUAACUCAAGUGGCAGCAGUCCCCAGGGCCCUGGCCCUAUGUCAUCCCACCCUCAGCUGGCCCAUGCCUUCACCCAUCGCAUGAGUAUGGGCUUUCUCAUCCAUCCCUCAUUGGGAUGUCGGGGCUUUCAGCAGCUGCUGCACCACAAGGUGCUCUCCCACCUCCAACACGAAGGUCUGUGCUCCACAAGAGCCCAUCAGGACAGGGCAGAGGUUUGGUGCUGAAGCCUGCAUCUCCUCAGAGGAUCAGGCAUCUCUGCUCACAGCAGCAUGACUGCAGGGCUUUGUCAGCUGAUGAUACGAGGCUGAAAUGAAGACAAAUGAGAGUA
rnacentral:lncRNA from 1 species